rnacentral:rRNA from 1 species
UACGAAGGGGGCUAGCGUUGCUCGGAAUCACUGGGCGUAAAGCGCACGUAGGCGGCUUCUUAAGUCAGGGGUGAAAUCCUGGAGCUCAACUCCAGAACUGCCUUUGAUACUGAGGAGCUUGAGUCCGGGAGAGGUGAGUGGAACUGCGAGUGUAGAGGUGAAAUUCGUAGAUAUUCGCAAGAACACCGAGCGAGGACGGCGACUCACGUGGCCGGCAACUGGACGCUGAGUGCGAAAGCGUGGGGAGCAAACAGGG